UACGAAGGGGGCGAGCGUUGUUCGGAUUUACUGGGCGUAAAGGGCGCGCAGGCGGCUCAUUUUGUCAGGCGUGAAAGCCCCGGGCUUAACCUGGGAGGUGCGUUUGAUACGGAUGGGCUAGAGUUCGGGAGAGGAGGGUGGAAUUCCCAGUGUAGAGGUGAAAUUCGUAGAUAUUGGGAAGAACACCGGUGGCGAAGGCGGCUCUCUGGACCGAGACUGACGCUGAGGCGCGAAAGCGUGGGGAGCAAACAGG
rnacentral:rRNA from 1 species